AUUGAACGCUGGCGGCAGGCCUAACACAUGCAAGUCGAACGAGUGGCGGACGGGUGAGUAAUGUCUGGGAAACUGCCUGAUGGAGGGGGAUAACUACUGGAAACGGUAGCUAAUACCGCAUACCAUCGGAUGUGCCCAGAUGGGAUUAGCUAGUAGGUGGGGUAAAGGCUCACCUAGGCGACGAUCCCUAGCUGGUCUGAGAGGAUGACCAGCCAAAAUGGAACGGAGACACGGUCCAGACUCCUACGGGAGGCAGCAGGGGGGAAUAUUGCACAAGGGGCGCAAGCCUGAGGCAGCCAUGCCGCGUGUGUGAAGAAGUCCUUCGGGUUGUAAAGCACUUUCAGUGGGGAGGCGUUACCCGCAGAAGAAGCACCGGCUAACUCCGUGCCAGCAGCCGCGGUAAUAC
rnacentral:rRNA from 1 species